GGUUGAUACAAUUCACAUUUAAUAUUCUGGCAGAAAAAGAACCUGAUUUCAUUACCUCCCUGGAGGCUGGAAAUGUCUUAUGGAUUCUUUUUCGCGUUACGCAAUUUCAUUACUAGCUGCUGUCUUUCUCCUUCUACCUCGGCAAACUUGAGGCUUAAUUCUGAAUAUCUCUCUUGCAUUUCCAUCAGUUCAUCUUCCAUUACAUUGUUCUUUUCCUUCAAUAGUUCAACUUCGCUGGACAAUUCCUCGAGAUGUCUUGUAUUAGAUGCUGAGGCUUCCAUGCUCUUCCUUGUCAACAUUGAUUGGGACUUU
rnacentral:misc_RNA from 1 species